rnacentral:siRNA from 1 species
UACGUCUUGGUUGUCUACUCAAA